UACGAAGGGGGCUAGCGUUGUUCGGAAUUACUGGGCGUAAAGCGCACGUAGGCGGACAUUUAAGUCAGGGGUGAAAUCCCAGAGCUCAACUCUGGAACUGCCUUUGAUACUGGGUAUCUUGAGUAUGGAAGAGGUGAGUGGAAUUCCGAGUGUAGAGGUGAAAUUCGUAGAUAUUCGGAGGAACACCAGUGGCGAAGGCGGCUCACUGGUCCAUUACUGACGCUGAGGUGCGAAAGCGUGAGGAGCAAACAGG
rnacentral:rRNA from 1 species